UACGUAGGGUGCAAGCGUUUGUCCGGAAUUAUUGGGCGUAAAGAGCUCGUAGGCGGUCUGUCGCGUCUGCUGUGAAAACUCGGGGCUUAACCCCGGGCCUGCAGUGGGUACGGGCAGACUAGAGUGAUGUAGGGGAGACUGGAAUUCCUGGUGUAGCGGUGAAAUGCGCAGAUAUCAGGAGGAACACCGAUGGCGAAGGCAGGUCUCUGGGCCGAUACUGACGCUGAGGAGCGAAAGCGUGGGGAGCGAACAGG
rnacentral:rRNA from 1 species